UACGUAGGGUGCAAGCGUUGUCCGGAAUUAUUGGGCGUAAAGAGCUCGUAGGCGGUCUGUUGCGUCGGCUGUGAAAACCCGGGGCUCAACCCCGGGCCUGCAGCCGAUACGGGCAGACUAGAGUUCGGCAGGGGAGACUGGAAUUCCUGGUGUAGCGGUGAAAUGCGCAGAUAUCAGGAGGAACACCGGUGGCGAAGGCGGGUCUCUAGUACGGUACUGACGCUGAGACGCGAAAGCGUGGGGAGCGAACAGG
rnacentral:rRNA from 1 species